rnacentral:ncRNA from 1 species
CGAUGGUGCCUCGAAUCGAAAGGUCCGGGGUGAAAAGGGAAUACGGUGAAGCCCGCGAGGGCCCAGACCGUGGCUGCCCCCGCAACUGUAAGCGGUAGCAAAGUCCGAGAACGCCACUGGCCAAGGUGCCGGGAAGGCAGGACAGCGCAACGAUCCGCGAGCCAGGAGACCUGCCAUCGCAG